UACGGAGGGGGCGAGCGUUAUUCGGAAUUAUUGGGCGUAAAGGGCGCGUAGGCGGCUGUACAAGUCAAAGGUGAAAUCCCUCGGCUCAACUGAGGAACUGCCUUUGAAACUGUACGGCUUGAGGCCGGGAGGGGGUGAGCGGAAUUCCCAGUGUAGCGGUGAAAUGCGUAGAUACUGGGAGGAACACCAGUGGCGAAGGCGGCUACCUGGACCGGUUCUGACGCUGAGGCGCGAAAGCGUGGGUAGCAAACAGG
rnacentral:rRNA from 1 species